CAGUCGCCGCGGGAAUACGUAGGGUGCAAGCGUUAAUCGGAAUUACUGGGCGUAAAGCGUGCGCAGGCGGUUAUAUAAGACAGAUGUGAAAUCCCCGGGCUCAACCUGGGAACUGCAUUUGUGACUGUAUAGCUAGAGUACGGCAGAGGGGGAUGGAAUUCCGCGUGUAGCAGUGAAAUGCGUAGAUAUGCGGAGGAACACCGAUGGCGAAGGCAAUCCCCUGGGCCUGUACUGACGCUCAUGCACGAAAGCGUGGGGAGCAAACAGGAUUAGAUACCCGAGUAGUCCCUGUCUCUUAUAC
rnacentral:rRNA from 1 species